GACAGGGAUAGGUUUGGAUGUGGUGGGAUAAGACUGUUAAUGCAGACAGGGCUAGGUUUAGAUAUGGUGGGAUAAGACUGUUAAUGCAGACAGGGAUAGGUUUAGAUAUGGUGGGAUAAGACAGGGCUAGGUUUGGAUAUGGUGGGAUAAGACUGUUAAUGCAGACAGAGAUAUGGUGGGAUAAGACUGUUAAUGCAGACAGGGAUAGGUUUGGAUGUGGUGGGAUAAGACUGUUAAUGCAGACAGGGAUAGGUUUGGAUAUGGUGGGAUAAGACGGGGCUAGGUUUAGAUAUGGUGGGAUAAGACUGUUAAUGCAGACAGGGGUAGGUUUGGAUAUGGUGGGAUAAGACUGUUAAUGCAGACAGGGAUAGGUUUGGAUAUGGUGGGAUAAGACUGUUAAUGCAGACAGGGAUAGGUUUAGAUAUGGUGGGAUAAGACUGUUAAUGCAGACAGGGAUAGGUUUGGAUGUGGUGGGAUAAGACUGUUAAUGCAGACAGAGAUAUGGUGGGAUAAGACAGGGCUAGGUUUAGAUAUGGUGGGAUAAGACAGGGCUAGGUUUAGAUAUGGUGGGAUAAGACUGUUAAUGCAGACAGGGAUAGGUUUGGAUAUGGUGGGAUAAGACUGUUAAUGCAGACAGGGAUAGGUUUGGAUAUGGUGGGAUAAGACUGUUAAUGCAGACAGGGAUAGGUUUAGAUAUGGUGGGAUAAGACAGGGCUAGGUUUAGAUAUGGUGGGAUAAGACUGUUAAUGCAGACAGGGAUAGGUUUAGAUAUGGUGGAAUAAGACAGGGCUAGGUUUAGAUAUGGUGGGAUAAGACUGUGUUAAUGCAGACAGGGCUAGGUUUAGAUAUGGUGGGAUAAGACUGUGUUAAUGCAGACAGAGCUAGGUUUAGAUAUGGUGGGAUAAGACUGUGUUAGGUUUAGAUAUGGUGGGAUAAGACUGUGUUAGGUUUAGAUAUGGUGGGAUAAGACUGUGUUAAUGCAGACUGGGAUAGGAUUAGAUAUGGUGGGAUAAGACUGUUAAUGCAGACAGGGCUAGGUUUAGAUAUGGUGGGAUAAGACUGUGUUAAUGCAGACAGGGCUAGGUUUAGAUAUGGUGGGAUAAGACUGUUAAUGCAGACAGGGCUAGGUUUAGAUAUGGAGGGAUAAGACUGUUAAUGCAGACAGGGCUAGGUUUAGAUAUGGAGGGAUAAGACUGUGUUAAUGCAGACAGGGCUAGGUUUAGAUAUGGUGGGAUAAGACUGUGUUAAUGCAGACAUGUAGAAAG